CGGAGAGCUAAGACUAGACAUAAAUCAGUAGAUUAAUCAUUACAUCGACUGGAAAGCAAUUUGAGGAUUGUCGAGUGGCACUCUAAAGGUAUAGUGAAUGUGAAUUUACCCAAUGUUCUAUUGACAGAGUGCAAAGCACACUGACCGUUGGGAUGAAGUCUCUACUGCAAGGAGUCGUGUGUGUUUCACUUGUACUCGGCCUGUCAGUGCAGGGAGAAUCGUUGGGGGUGAAUGAAUGCAGUAAAGUUUACCAUUACUUACGGACUCUGUCUAUUACGAAGAACUAUACCGAGUCGUAUAGUUUGAAGUGCGGAUGGUGGCAACGGUGCACAAG